rnacentral:siRNA from 1 species
AUCUCAAAAGGUGAAAGUUCAUA